rnacentral:rRNA from 1 species
UACGAAGGGGGCUAGCGUUGUUCGGAAUUACUGGGCGUAAAGGGCGCGCAGGCGGCUCUUCAAGUCAGAUGUGAAAGCCCCGGGCUCAACCUGGGAACUGCGUUUGAAACUGGGAGACUAGAGUGUGGCAGAGGGGGGUGGAAUUCCACGUGUAGCAGUGAAAUGCGUAGAUAUGUGGAGGAACACCGAUGGCGAAGGCAGCCCCCUGGGCUAACACUGACGCUCAUGCACGAAAGCGUGGGGAGCAAACAGG